rnacentral:rRNA from 1 species
UAGUGAUUAGAGUUUGAUCAUGGCUCAGAUUGAACGCUGGCGGCAUGCCUUACACAUGCAAGUCGAACGGCAGCGCGGGGGUAACCUGGGCGGCGAGUGGCGAACGGGUGAGUAAUAUAUCGGAACGUGCCCUGGAGUGGGGGAUAACGUAGCGAAAGUUACGCUAAUACCGCAUACGAUCUACGGAUGAAAGUGGGGGAUCGCAAGACCUCAUGCUCCUGGAGCGGCCGAUAUCUGAUUAGCUAGUUGGUAGGGUAAAAGCCUACCAAGGCGACGAUCAGUAGCUGGUCUGAGAGGACGACCAGCCACACUGGGACUGAGACACGGCCCAGACUCCUACGGGAGGCAGCAGUGGGGAAUUUUGGACAAUGGGGGCAACCCUGAUCCAGCAAUGCCGCGUGAGUGAAGAAGGCCUUCGGGUUGUAAAGCUCUUUUGUCAGGGAAGAAACGGUUCUGGAUAAUACCCGGAGCUAAUGACGGUACCUGAAGAAUAAGCACCGGCUAACUACGUGCCAGCAGCCGCGGUAAUACGUAGGGUGCAAGCGUUAAUCGGAAUUACUGGGCGUAAAGCGUGCGCAGGCGGUUGUGCAAGACAGAUGUGAAAUCCCCGGGCUCAACCUGGGAAUUGCAUCUGUGACUGCACGGCUAGAGUGUGUCAGAGGGGGGUAGAAUUCCACGUGUAGCAGUGAAAUG